rnacentral:piRNA from 1 species
UAAACAAGCAGGUACUACAGGUGGGAUAAU